rnacentral:rRNA from 1 species
AACGGAAGGCCCUUCGGGGUACUCGAGUGGCGAACGGGUGAGUAACACGUGGGUGAUCUGCCCUGCACUUUGGGAUAAGCCUGGGAAACUGGGUCUAAUACCGGAUAGGACUACGGCCUGCAUGGGUUGUGGUGGAAAGCUUUUGCGGUGUGGGAUGGGCCCGCGGCCUAUCAGCUUGUUGGUGAGGUUAUGGCUUACCAAGGCGACGACGGGUAGCCGGCCUGAGAGGGUGUCCGGCCACACUGGGACUGAGAUACGGCCCAGACUCCUACGGGAGGCAGCAGUGGGGAAUAUUGCACAAUGGGCGCAAGCCUGAUGCAGCGACGCCGCGUGAGGGAUGACGGCCUUCGGGUUGUAAACCUCUUUCAGCUCCGACGAAGCGCAAGUGACGGUAGGGGUAGAAGAAGGACCGGCCAACUACGUGCCAGCAGCCGCGGUAAUACGUAGGGUCCGAGCGUUGUCCGGAAUUACUGGGCGUAAAGAGCUCGUAGGUGGUUUGUCGCGUUGUUCGUGAAAACUCACAGCUUAACUGUGGGCGUGCGGGCGAUACGGGCAGACUUGAGUACUGCAGGGGAGACUGGAAUUCCUGGUGUAGCGGUGGAAU